GGGGCUGUAAAGGGUUCGACAGGGGUAUGAAAGCUAUGAAUUCGCUAGAGUGAUGACUUAAUCAUCAAACCUAAAAAUAAACGCAAACAGACAGAUGUCAGCAGUAGCCUAAGCGCUACGCCAAAACACUUUGAGAUACCGCUGGUAGAAGUUGAGGCUCAAAAACAAGCGGAAUUAUCGGUUCUCUGUAUACAGUAAGCGAGGAACAGAGUGGUGGAUUAGAAAAGAAAUCAGUGCUAUACCCAAACAGCGUAAAGAUUCAUAGCAAGUAAUACUUUUGGACAGGGGUUCGAUUCCCCUCAGCUCCAUCA
rnacentral:tmRNA from 1 species